ACAUGCAGUCGAGCGGAGCGAGGUGCUUGCACCUUAGCUUAGCGGCGGACGGGUGAGUAAUGCUUAGGAAUCUGCCUAUUAGUGGGGGACAACAUUCCGAAAGGAAUGCUAAUACCGCAUACGCCCUACGGGGGAAGCAGGGGAUCUUCGGACCUUGCGCUAAUAGAUGAGCCUAAGUCGGAUUAGCUAGUUGGUGGGGUAAAGGCCUACCAAGGCGACGAUCUGUAGCGGGUCUGAGAGGAUGAUCCGCCACACUGGACUGAGACACGGCCCAGACUCUACGGGAGGCAGCAGUGGGGAUAUUGGACAUGGCGGAGCCUGAUCAGCCAUGCGCGUGUGUGAGAGCUUUGUGUAGCACUUAGCGAGAGAGCUACUAGUAUAUACUACNGAUAGUGUCGUACUCGCAAAUAGCACGCUACUCUGUGCAGCAGCGCGUAUACAGAGGGCGA
rnacentral:rRNA from 1 species